UCACCAGUUCAGGGAUGGAAGGCUUACCU
rnacentral:piRNA from 1 species